GCGCACGGGUGAGUAUACCAUAGAUAAUGUACCUCUUAGUUCGGGAUAGCCACUGGAAACGGUGAUUAAUACCGGAUACUCCUUCUCGUUAUAAGACGAGUCGGGAAAGUUUUUUCGCUAAGAGAUCAGUCUAUGUCCUAUCAGCUAGUUGGUGAGGUAAUGGCUCACCAAGGCUAUGACGGGUAUCUGGUUUGAGAGGAUGAUCAGACACACUGGAACUGAGACACGGUCCAGACUCCUACGGGAGGCAGCAGUGAGGAAUAUUGCACAAUGGAGGAAACUCUGAUGCAGCAACGCCGCGUGGAGGAUGACGCAUUUCGGUGUGUAAACUCCUUUUAAGAGGGAAGAUUAUGACGGUACCUCUUGAAUAAGCACCGGCUAACUCCGUGCCAGCAGCAGCGGUAAUACGGAGGGUGCAAGCGUUACUCGGAAUCACUGGGCGUAAAGGGUGCGUAGGCUGACUUUUAAGUCAGGCGUGAAAUCCAAUGGCUUAACCAUUGAACUGCGCUUGAAACUGGGAGUCUAGAGUUCAGAAGGGGCAGAUGGAAUUAGUGGUGUAGGGGUAAAAUCCGUAGAUAUCACUAGGAAUAUCAAAAGCGAAGGCGAUCUGCUGGGAUGAUACUGACGCUGAGGCACGAAAGCGUGGGGAGCAAACAGGAUUAGAUACCCUGGUAGUCCACGCCCUAAACGAUGAAUGCUAGUCGUCGGGGUACUCGUUACUUCGGUGAUGCACUUAACAGAUUAAGCAUUCCGCCUGGGGAGUACGGUCGCAAGAUUA
rnacentral:rRNA from 1 species